CCUAUAGAUGCUGACUGAAGAGAGGUCAGCUCUAGGCUGGAAAAUCAAGUUUCUACAAUGAAUACCACUCAAAACCAGCUCAUAAAGGGGCCCACUCACGGGAGUACAGGAUGUAAUUUGAGUUGCAGAGUUGGCUUAGGAAGUGAAACUGAAUUGUCUUCCCCUGGUCCUGCCACUGGUGCUAGAGGUGGAGUCAUGCUGUUAACCACUGCACUGGACUACCCUGCCAUGUGUCACUUUGUCAAGUAACAGCAAACUUUGAAAAAGAGGCAAAAAGAAGAUAAGCUGGAGUUUUCAGCUAUGAAGAAUUUUUUUUUACUAAUAUGUUGUCAAGAUUAAUUCACUAAUAUUAAGUGAGUACUUUCAGAUCAUUGCACUGAAGUUGCACUACAAAAGAAGUAUGUAAUUUGUUUUCUCACAUCUGAAGCCCAUUAUUAGUACAACAAAUAAAGAACAUUUUAAAUGUCA
rnacentral:lncRNA from 1 species